rnacentral:rRNA from 1 species
GACAGAGGUGCCAAGCGUUAGGCGGAAUCACUGGGCUUAAAGCGUGUGUAGGCGGAAUGGUAAGUACCUUGUGAAAUCCCACGGCUCAACCGUGGAACUGCUCGGUAUACUGCUUUUCUUGAGCCAACUAGGGGCGAGCGGAACAGACGGUGGAGCGGUGAAAUGCGUAGAUAUCGUCUGGAACGCCGAAGGUGAAAACAGCUCGCUGGGGUUGUGCUGACGCUGAGGCACGAAAGCGUGGGGAGCAAACAGG